rnacentral:lncRNA from 1 species
AGGUGGAUCACAUGGAUCUCUUAAAUACCAAGUCUUUCCUUAGACAGAAUAUCCCUUCUAUAGUAAUUUAAUAGCACAAUUAAAUACUACUAUUAUACCCUCAAAUAUUAAAAGAAAAAUAGGACAAGAAAGAACACAAGAGAUUUAACGAGGUUCGGUAAAUUAUACCUACGUCCUCGGGCACUAACACCAGAUGAUAACUUUACUAUCUCCAAAGUAUUACAAACAAAUAGAAUUCCUUAAGAAUUCUCAAAUGGGAGAAGAGAGAAAACUAAG